CAGUAGCCGCGGUAAUACGUAGGGUGCGAGCGUUAUCCGGAAUGAUUGGGCGUAAAGCGUCUGUAGGUGGCUUUUCAAGUCCGCCGUCAAAUCCCAGGGCUCAACCCUGGACAGGCGGUGGAAACUACCAAGCUGGAGUACGGUAGGGGCAGAGGGAAUUUCCAGUGGAGCGGUGAAAUGCGUUGAGAUCGAAAAGAACACCAACAGCGAAAGCACUCUGCUGGGACGACACUGACACUGAGAGACGAAAGCUAGGGGAGCAAAUGGGAUUAGAUACCCGUGUAGUCCCUGUCUCUUAUAC
rnacentral:rRNA from 1 species